CAUUACCGAGUUUACAACUCCCAAACCCAAUGUGAACCAUACCAAACUGUUGCCUCGGCGGGGUCACGCCCCGGGUGCGUCGCAGCCCCGGAACCAGGCGCCCGCCGGAGGGACCAACCAAACUCUUUUCUGUAGUCCCCUCGCGGACGUUAUUUCUUACAGCUCUGAGCAAAAAUUCAAAAUGAAUCAAAACUUUCAACAACGGAUCUCUUGGUUCUGGCAUCGAUGAAGAACGCAGCGAAAUGCGAUAAGUAAUGUGAAUUGCAGAAUUCAGUGAAUCAUCGAAUCUUUGAACGCACAUUGCGCCCGCCAGUAUUCUGGCGGGCAUGCCUGUCCGAGCGUCAUUUCAACCCUCGAACCCCUCCGGGGGGUCGGCGUUGGGGAUCGGGAACCCCUAAGACGGGAUCCCGGCCCCGAAAUACAGUGGCGGUCUCGCCGCAGCCUCUCCUGCGCAGUAGUUUGCACAACUCGCACCGGGAGCGCGGCGCGUCCACGUCCGUAAAACACCCAACUUCUGAAAUGUUGACCUCGGAUCAGGUAGGAAUACCCGCUGAACUUAAGCAUAUCAAUAAGCCGGAGGAA
rnacentral:rRNA from 1 species